rnacentral:rRNA from 1 species
GACGAACGCUGGCGGCGUGCUUAACACAUGCAAGUCGAACGGACAGACAGAGAGCUUGCUCUCUUGAAGUUAGUGGCGAACGGGUGAGUGACGCGUAAUCAACCUGCCCUUCAGAGGGGGAUAACAACGGGAAACCGUUGCUAAUACCGCGUACGAUUCAUGAACGGCAUCGUUUAUGAAUGAAAGGUGGCCUCUAUGUAUAAGCUAUCGCUGAAGGAGGGGAUUGCGUCUGAUUAGCUAGUUGGAGGGGUAACGGCCCACCAAGGCAAUGAUCAGUAGCCGGUCUGAGGGGAUGAACGGCCACAUUGGGACUGAGACACGGCCCAAACUCCUACGGGAGGCAGCAGUGGGGAAUCUUCCGCAAUGGACGAAAGUCUGACGGAGCAACGCCGCGUGAGUGAUGAAGGUCUUCGGAUUGUAAAGCUCUGUUAAUCGGGACGAAAGAGUUCUGCGUGAAUAAUGCAGAAAAGUGACGGUACCGGAAUAGAAAGCCACGGCUAACUACGUGCCAGCCGCCGCGGUAA